UGAAUUGACGGGCCCCGCACAAGCAGCGGAGCGUGUGGUUUAAUUCGAUGCUACACGAAGAACCUUACCAGGGUUUGACAUACAAGUAGUAGGGAAAGGAAACUGGACCGACCCUUCGGGGAGCUUGUACAGGUGCUGCAUGGCUGUCGUCAGCUCGUGUCGUGAGAUGUUCGGUUAAGUCCGCUAACGAGUGCAACCCUCGCUGUGUGUUACAAGUGUCACACGGAACUGCCGGUCAUAAACCGGAGGAAGGUGGGAUGACGUCAAGUCAGCAUGGCCUUCAUAUCCUGGGCUACACACACGCUACAAUGGGAAAGGACAAUAGGUAGCGAAACCGCGAGGUGGAGCCAAUCCAGCAAAAUUUCCCUCAGUUCAGAUUGCAGGCUGCAACUCGCCUGCAUGAAGUUGGAGUUGCUAGUAAACGCAGGUCAGCCAUACUGCGUUGAAUACGUUCCCGGGGCUU
rnacentral:rRNA from 1 species